UACGGAGGAUCCAAGCGUUAUCCGGAUUCAUUGGGUUUAAAGGGUGCGUAGGCGGAUUUGUAAGUCAGUGGUGAAAGCCUACAGCUUAACUGUAGAAUUGCCAUUGAUACUGCUUUUCUUGAGUACAGUUGAAGUGGGUGGAAUGUGUUAUGUAGCGGUGAAAUGCAUAGAUAUAACACAGAACUCCAAUUGCGAAGGCAGCUCACUAAACUGCAACUGACGCUGAGGCACGAAAGCGUGGGGAU
rnacentral:rRNA from 1 species